rfam:Corynebacterium glyciniphilum AJ 3170, complete genome.
GGCCGGACGCCGCGCGGCGUGCAUCUUGUGAACUCCCCCAGGGCAGGAAUGCAGCAAGGGUCAACGAGCUCUGGCGGGUGCGCGGUGUCCUUUAAUU